GGUCCCUUAGCUCAACUGGAUAGAGCACCCGCCUUCUAAGCGGACGGUUGCAGGUUCGAGUCCUGCAGGGACCGCCA
rnacentral:tRNA from 1 species